AGAACGAACGCUGGCGGCGUGGAUAAGACAUGCAAGUCGAACGCGACUUAUAGCGAUAGCAAUAUCAUUGUAAGUUGAGUGGCGAAAGGGUGCGUAACACGUGGGAAUUUACCAAGAAGUGGGGAAUAGCUCGACGAAAGUCGAAUUAAUACCGCAUAUGAUCGCAAGAUCAAAGCCGGGGACCGCAAGGCCUGGCGCUUUUUGAGGAGCCCGCGGCCCAUCAGCUAGUUGGCGGGGUAACGGCCCACCAAGGCUAUGACGGGUAGCUGGUCUGAGAGGACGACCAGCCACACUGGAACUGAGACACGGUCCAGACACCUACGGGUGGCAGCAGUCGAGAAUUUUUCACAAUGGACGAAAGU
rnacentral:rRNA from 1 species